GGAGAGAUGGCUGAGUGGACUAAAGCGGCGGAUUGCUAAUCCAUUGUACAUUUUUUUGUACCGAGGGUUCGAAUCCCUCUCAUUCCG
rfam:Triticum aestivum genome assembly, contig: Triticum_aestivum_CS42_TGACv1_scaffold_306373_4AS